AAUAAGAUAAUUUUUCAGUUUUUUGAUACAACGUUUUGACUCUUCGUCUUAUUUAAAAUUUUUUUACGAUUAAUAUUUUUAUUUUUACUAGAUGACAAAACAUAAAUAGUACUUUAUGCGUGACUAAUUUUUUUAAAGUUUUUUAUAAUUUUUUCAAAUAAGACGAAUGGUUAAACGUUGGGCACGGAAAA
rnacentral:pre_miRNA from 1 species